rnacentral:rRNA from 1 species
UGCAGUCGACGAUGAAGCUUCUAGCUUGCUAGAAGUGGAUUAGUGGCGCACGGGUGAGUAAGGUAUAGUUAAUCUGCCCUACACAAGAGGACAACAGUUGGAAACGACUGCUAAUACUCUAUACUCCUGCUUAACACAAGUUGAGUAGGGAAAGUUUUUCGGUGUAGGAUGAGACUAUAUAGUAUCAGCUAGUUGGUAAGGUAAUGGCUUACCAAGGCUAUGACGCUUAACUGGUCUGAGAGGAUGAUCAGUCACACUGGAACUGAGACACGGUCCAGACUCCUACGGGAGGCAGCAGUAGGGAAUAUUGCGCAAUGGGGGAAACCCUGACGCAGCAACGCCGCGUGGAGGAUGACACUUUUCGGAGCGUAAACUCCUUUUCUUAGGGAAGAAUUCUGACGGUACCUAAGGAAUAAGCACCGGCUAACUCCGUGCCAGCAGCCGCGGUAAUACGGAGGGUGCAAGCGUUACUCGGAAUCACUGGGCGUAAAGGGCGCGUAGGCGGAUUAUCAAGUCUCUUGUGAAAUCUAAUGGCUUAACC